AGAGUUUGAUCAUGGCUCAGAUUGAACGCUGGCGGCAGGCCUAACACAUGCAAGUCGAGCGGAUGACGGGAGCUUGCUCCUGGAUUCAGCGGCGGACGGGUGAGUAAUGCCUAGGAAUCUGCCUGGUAGUGGGGGACAACGUUUCGAAAGGAACGCUAAUACCGCAUACGUCCUACGGGAGAAAGCAGGGGACCUUCGGGCCUUGCGCUAUCAGAUGAGCCUAGGUCGGAUUAGCUUGUUGGUGAGGUAAUGGCUCACCAAGGCGACGAUCCGUAACUGGUCUGAGAGGAUGAUCAGUCACACUGGAACUGAGACACGGUCCAGACUCCUACGGGAGGCAGCAGUGGGGAAUAUUGGACAAUGGGCGAAAGCCUGAUCCAGCCAUGCCGCGUGUGUGAAGAAGGUCUUCGGAUUGUAAAGCACUUUAAGUUGGGAGGAAGGGUUGUAGAUUAAUACUCUGCAAUUUUGACGUUACCGACAGAAUAAGCACCGGCUAACUCUGUGCCAGCAGCCGCGGUAAUACAGAGGGUGCAAGCGUUAAUCGGAAUUACUGGGCGUAAAGCGCGCGUAGGUGGUUUGUUAAGUUGGAUGUGAAAGCCCCGGGCUCAACCUGGGAACUGCAUCCAAAACUGGCAAGCUAGAGUACGGUAGAGGGUGGUGGAAUUUCCUGUGUAGCGGUGAAAUGCGUAGAUAUAGGAAGGAACACCAGUGGCGAAGGCGACCACCUGGACUGAUACUGACACUGAGGUGCGAAAGCGUGGGGAGCAAACAGGAUUAGAUACCCUGGUAGUCCACGCCGUAAACGAUGUCAACUAGCCGUUGGAAUCCUUGAGAUUUUAGUGGCGCAGCUAACGCAUUAAGUUGACCGCCUGGGGAGUACGGCCGCAAGGUUAAAACUUAAAGGAAUUGACGG
rnacentral:rRNA from 1 species